ensembl:snRNA U6 U6 spliceosomal RNA
GUGUUCACUUGGGCAGCACAUAUACUAAAAUUGGAAGGAUACAGAGAUUAGCAUGGCCCCUGCGCAAGGAUGACUCACAAAUUCAUGAAGUAUUCUAUAUUUUA